CCCCCUGAUCCCACUGGGACCCCCCCCUGAUCCCGCAGGGUGGCCCUGGUGGCAGCGAUGGGGACGUUGGGGACACCGGUGACAUCGGGGACGUCUGGGACACUGAGCGGCGCCAGGGCCACCUCUGCAUUCCUCCAGGAUGGCCUCCACUCAGCUGACCCCGGUGCUGGCCAAGGCCUCGGCGGCCACCUCGCGGGGCCUGAAGGCACUGGUGGGACUGGCCAACGCGCUGGGGACACUGGAGAAGAUGCCGGAGGCACGGGAGGAGGCCGAGGAGGCGGCGGCAGAGGCCGAGGAGGCCCUGAGGAGGCUGAACCAGGUGCUGGCGGCCGCGCUCGCCACCAAGGCGGCGGAGGAACCGGGGCUGGGGGCCAGGAGCAUCUACAGCGCCGUGGAGGCCUUCACCAAGGCCAGGGUCGAGGAGCUGGAGCGGGAGCAGAAGCGGAACCGGCGGCAGCAGAAGCUCCUGGUGGUGCUGCGCAACGUCGCCCUGGGGCUGCUGCUGCUCUGCACCCCCCUGCUGUCCUUCGACGCGGUGCGGGAGGCGCUGGGGGUGACACAGGAGGGCCACCUCGUCCCCUGCCUGGCCACCGUCCUGCUGGUGUGCCAGGUGGCCGCCUGGGCCUCCGAGCGCUCCGGCCACCACCUGGCCACCGCCUUGGACCAGCAACGUCACCAACUGGCCCAUUACCGUCACCUGGCCCACGCCACCCCCCCCCCCGAUGUCACCCAAGCCACCCGGGAGGCCUCGGUGGCCCAAGGGACGCUGGAGGAGGUGGCCGACCAGUUGCGGCAGCUACUGGGAGCACUGGAGGACGACCUGCAGGACGCCCGCGGCUUCCCCGCCACCACCCGCGCCUUGGGGACAGCCGCGGUGGCCUUGGGGACGGUGACCCAGGACGAGGAGGCGACACAGAGGCUGGCGGAGGCGCUGCGGGUGCUGCCCGGGGAGGUGGCGGGGCAGCCGUAGCCCCCCCGGUGACCUUGGGGACAGCGGUGUCACCCGGGGGCGUCCUGGGGUCCCCCUGGUCCUUUUUGGGGACUCUGAGGUGGCCUUUUGGGGACAGGGAGGGUGGCACUGUCCUUUGUCUCCUCGCACCGAUAAAUAAAUAAAGCUUAAGGGUGCGCCCAGGCUCUGGUUCGUCACUUGGGGGGGUGGGGACGUCCUUGAGGACAAGGGGACGUGUCCUUGAAUUGUCCCCACCGCCGGGAUUGUCCCCGACAGCCCCCAGGAUCCCCCGGCUGGAUGUCCCCAGGCUGUGGGGGACAAGGUGGGGACACAGCGCGGCCCUAAGGGGACAAUUUGGGGACGCAACGGGGGGGCUGUGGGAGGCACAAGGGGGACAUCCUGAGGGGUCCUUGGGGCUCUGACGGGGACAUCGGGGGACACUGGGGACAUUGGAGGCUGUUGGGGGGG
rnacentral:lncRNA from 1 species